rnacentral:rRNA from 1 species
UACGAAGGGGACUAGCGUUGUUCGGAAUCACUGGGCGUAAAGCGCACGUAGGCGGAUUCGUAAGUCAGGGGUGAAAGCCCUCGGCUCAACUGAGGAAGUGCAUCCGAAACUGGCAGGCUAGAGUACUAAAGAGGGUCGCGGAAUUCCCGGUGUAGAGGUGAAAUUCGUAGAUAUCGGGAGGAACACCGGUGGCGAAGGCGGCGACCUGGGUAGAUACUGACGCUGAGGUGCGAAAGCGUGGGGAGCAAACAGG